AUAUGCCCAUCUCUGCGCGUGUUCAUGUGUGUGUCUCCGUGUGUAUGUGUCUGUGUUCAGCGGCGUGGGUGCACGCUGUUACUCCUUCCUCCCAGAACCCAAGCAGACGUCACCGAUCAAUUUCAUCAAGCCCCACACUCCUGUGUGGCGCGUCUCCCUAUGCUAGCCACGAACUGGGUUUGACCACUAGAGGAAACCGAGGUGCUUUUCCAGGUCUCCAGUGUCUAGGUCAAGGUGCUCAGACUGACAUCUCAUGCUUUCAGAGCCUGUCUUUAUUCCCUGCCAGAAACUUUCUGCCUCAAGCAAUUCCCUGAGCUCUAAAAAUGCCCAUUCCUCCCUGAGCUUUUGAAGUUUUCUUCUCAGCUGACAGGGGACUUGUUAAGCAUCUGCUUUCUGGAAUCAGCCUCCAUGGGUUUAAUUCUUGCUCUGCUAUCUCUGAGUCAGGCAGCUCCAAGCCCAUCAUUCAACGACAGAGCCUCACCUUCCUCUUCUGGAAUUCGCAGAGGCUCAUCCUAACACUACUUCACAGGGGUGACGAGGGCAAAACAAGAUGACCCAGGUAAGGUCCCCAGCCCAGAGUCCACCCCCAGUGAGCUCCGUGUGUGGAAGUGGCAAUGACUGUUCACUGUGUUCUGACACUGCAUGUGGCCACUGACAUACGGUCAGUCUCAGUGUGUGUGUGGGUCACCUUUACCUGCUUUGCACAAGGUGGGAGGUGCCACUGGUGACACUGCCCACAUCUCCAGACAUGAGGGGACCAAAGUUUGCCGGAGCUGGGAGCCUGGGUGCUCCUGAGGGCAGAGACUCUCAGCCAGCGUGUGCAGGAUGAAUGGGGAGCAGGAAGGGGCUGAGACGCCACUGGAUCUUUCUCUUGCAGGCCUGGGGUCAGCACUGAGGGUCGGGGACCAGGAAAAAUACUGGUCUAGGAGGUCAGGGAACAGCUUAACACCUGCCUGGUGGCUACCUGUAGGGCCCUCAGUGGCCAGUUACGGAGGACAGGUGUUCCAGCAUCGGCUGUACUGAUGUUUUGGACCGAAUGAUUCUCUAUUGUGGGGCUGUUCUGUGCUCUGCAGAUGCUUAGCAGCCCCUGAGCCUCUGCCCAUCACAUGACAGGAGCAGCCCCCAUUGCCAGUCAGGGUAAUCAGAAAGGUCUCCAGGCAUUGCCAGAUAUUCUCUGGAAGACGCUACGCGGCCAGUUGAGAACCACUGGGUCAUGACUCCAGUGAUCAGCUGUGCUCCCAGAUCUUGGCUGGGUGAAAGCCCCCCGUCAAUAAGGCAAAGGCUGGGAAAGGUGGGCCUGUCCUUCCACCUGCAGAAUAAACCAAUAAUCUGGAAUUUUCGAGGCUUGGCAUGGGGUUGCUGAGAUGCAUCCCACGCCCUAUCCAAAAUCUUAGGCACUAACUUGGACCUAUGGGGACAAGGACAAAGCCUAGGAGCUCUCGACUAAGGUAAUGUCCUCUUUGUGUUACCAGGUGAGUAGGGACUGGGUUGUGUUGGGAGGGGGAGGAGGAGACUUGGGAUAUUUCUGGGAUUUGGGAGACUGUGCCGUCUGGUCUGGGGUCAGGCUGACACCUAGGGCACAGGCUUGUGUGGCCAACAAAACCUGGGUCUUCCCUUUUUCCCUUCCUUACCUGUGUAAUUCAGCUCUGUGGGCCCAACUUGGUUCAGAUCCUCCCGAAGGCCUCUCUGGCACCUGUCCUCUCCAGCUGCCUUAGGGUCCUUCUCUGGUUUUCCCCCAUCCCCGUCCCUAAGCAUAGCACGUUCUGCCUGACCAAAGAGCCACAGCCUCUGCUAUCUGGUCCACUUUUGUGCACCCAGUACCUAGCAAGAGGACCUGACACAGAGGCCUCUUUAUUCCCAGCAGUUGGCUGAUGGCCCACUAGGGCCUAAGCCCCCCAGCCAAGCACAAAUCAUUUCCAGCCCCGGAAAGGGUCGCAAGGGGUGUCGGUGCAUCACAGAAUGGGGACAUCUAGUCUGCUGGUCAUGGUUGAGGUUUCGUGUCCCUCUCGUGUCCCCAUAGAGGGACCAGUCGUCCCGGUUCACCCAGAACUAAGGGGUUUCUUGAGACAGGGAAUGUCAACAUUGAAAGAGGCAAAGUGCUGGACAAAUCAGGACGAGACGGAUAUUCUAGUGCGUGCACCUGCCUGGAAGAUUGACUCUAGCCACACAGUUUACAUCCUGGAACAAGGCGCCAAGGUAGUGUCAGAGUUAAAAACCCGUUUGACAGGGCCAGGUACGGGGGCUGGAACCCAAGGGAUCCAUCAUCUCACACCCUCAUGGCCAGAACCAACCGCCAGGUUCUAGGUUCUCAGAAGCUGCCCAACUUCCUGGGAACCACGCAUCCCUCCUCCCUCCCGGGAGCCCAAAUUCCAAGAAAUGCAGCUAAAAUUGGCCCUCGAACAGCUUUUGCAGAGCACGUCGCGGCUUUUUUUGGGUCUAGAGAGCCGGUUUCCAUGAUGAAAGUGGCACAGAAGGAGAGACCCAGCUAAAAACAGCCACCGCCCAGACUGGUUGUUCGCAGGAUGCCGCCUCCCCAGCCUCUUGCGGGGUUUGGACGCCUCACUUCCGCAGCCGCCGCCGCCGCCCGUCGCCACUAGGUGGCAGCAUCGCAGCGCGCGGCGGGGACGGCGCCCCGGGCCGGCGGCCGAGAGCCGCUCCUGAAAAUGCUGCCCAUAAAAUACGCACCAGCCACAAAAUUCUCCACUAAAUUAUUUCCCUUUCAUUUGGGGUCAUUUGUGUGCUUUGCAGGAGCUCCGUGGAAGGGUCUCUUCGACGGGCCGACCUAGUGCCGCCCAGGCACCGCUGGAGUCUGCUCCCUGCGCCCCGGGGUGUCCCUGACGCGGGCCGAUCCCCCCACCAGCCCCCCGGACUUAGCAGGGUCAUCUUGCCUCGGGUCCCACGUCGCAGCAGAAGUUUGAAAUUUUCCAGAAGAAGUGGCGUAGCCCUGGGGGAGGGGAACGCCCCCAUUUGGGGCCUGUGGUCCUGCCCUGCAGAGCCCCUGGCUUCCCUGUGUGGGCCUCAGGGAUGGAGUUUUGGCUCAGGAGUGUGACUGCCUUGCUCUUAGGUCCCCAAAUCGUGGGGGGAACAGGGCCCCGGGGGCACCCACCUCUGAGGCCACGGUGAUGUGAACGGGACGGUGCCUGCCGCCUCUCAAGGGCUCCCAGUCCGAACUACUUGUCAUGGUUCCUCAGCGUCCCCAGGGGCUGGUAUGAUGGUCGCCCCACAAAGAGUAACUCAGUGGGUCUCACGGCCCUUGUUUCAGAGGCAAGAGGGGGAGGUGGAGAUCAUCUCCAAGGCCUUGCUUCUCAAAGCCUAGUUCGAGGCUGGCAGCAGGCAACACAGGUAUCCUCCUUCGAAACGGGGUCUUGGCCCCAUCAGGCCCACGGAGCCAGACCCUCCCUUCACAGCACCCACAGGGGCUUCGUGGCACCCUGAGGUUGAAGCUCCAAGGCACCUUCCAGCCUCGGUGGGCUGGGAUUCCGCACCCACGUCCCAGCUUUCUGCAGCUGCCUGGGUGCUCUGGUGUGACGGGAGGUGACAGGCUGCGGUGGGCCUGGCUGGGCUCCUUGCACUCCCGCAAGCGCCCAGAUCUGGCUCACCACGUGCCUGCAGAUCCUGCUGGCUCCCUCCGGCCUGGCCACAGCAGUCUCCAUCCUCCCAGUGACUCUGGGACCACGAACUGACACUGUCUUGACCCUGUCCACCCUGGAAGGUCCGGCUCCAAAGCAGCGGCACUGGGCAUGGCUCGUCAGCACUGAUAGAACCCGCCGUGUGCCGGGAUGGUGUCCUUGUUCCCGGGCCGCUCACGAGUGACUAACCCAGCCUGCUGGGAUCCGAAGCACCUCGAGAGCUUUCAAGGCGCCACGAGAAUCACCCGAGAGCUUGUCGGGAUGCAGAUGCGGAUUCUCCAGGUCUGGGAUGGAGCCCAACCAAGACUCUGCAUU